UGUAGCUGGGACUGAUGGGCUGGGGGAGCUGGAGCCAGAUGCAAGAGGGCAGGGCCCAGGAGUAAGGCCCCGUCACUACCCUUGGGGCCCUGUGCCGGGCGCUCCCUAGGCAGAGGGCCGAGGACCGUGGGCCUGCCAGGUGCUGAGGGUCCCUCUCCUGCCGCCCCCAGAGCUCCAGAAGGCGAAGGACAAGGCCCAGAGGAGCGGGAGCCUCAAGGAGGAAGCUGUCCUUUGCAACCAGCUUGGGGAGAUCUUGGCUCGACAUGGGCUCUACCAGGAGGCGCUGGAGGAGCACCGGCAGGAGCUGCGUCUCCUGGAGAGCGUGGAGGAUGUUAUUGGCCGGGCCGUGGCCCACCGGAAGAUCGGGGAGCGCCUGGCGGAGCUGGAGAACUACGAAGCUGCGUUGAAGCACCAGCGCCAGCACCUGGAGCUGGCCUGUGCCGUGUCCGAUCACACCGAGCAGCAGAGGGCCUGGGCCAC